AAACCAACAGGGGAUUGCCUCAGUAGCGGCGAGUGAAGCGGCAAGAGCUCAGAUUUGAAAUCUCACCUAGUGUGCGAGUUGUAAAUUGCAGGUUGGAGUCUCGGGUUAGACGUGUGUGCAAGUCCCUUGGAACAGGGUGCCACUGAGGGUGAGAGCCCCGUAGCGUGCAUGUCGACACCUGUGAGGCCCUUCUGACGAGUCGAGUUGUUUGGGAAUGCAGCUCUAAGUGGGUGGUAAAUUCCAUCUAAGGCUAAAUAUUGGCGAGAGACCGAUAGCGAACAAGUACUGUGAAGGAAAGAUGAAAAGCACUUUGAAAAGAGAGUGAAACAGCACGUGAAAUUGUUGAAAGGGAAGGGUAUUGGGCUCGACAUGGGAUUUACGCAUCGUUGCCUCUCGUGGGCGGCGCUCUGGGUUUUUCCUGGGCCAGCAUCGGUUUUCGUUGCAGGAUAAGGACAAUUGGAAUGUGGCUCCUCCGAGUGUUAUAGCCUUUUGUAGAUGCUGCGUAUGGGGACCGAGGGCUGCGGCGGACUCGUUUCGUCUCGUAUG
rnacentral:rRNA from 1 species